rnacentral:antisense_RNA from 1 species
CUUGACAGAGCCGAGCCACAGCGGCCGGUCGUCGGCACGGUUCUGGCCGUAGGUGGCGAGGAGCGCCUGGGCCUC